CGUAAAGCUCUGUCAGGUGGGAAGAAAUGUAUGGGGGUGAAUAGCCACCAUACUUGACGGUACCACCAGAGGAAGCACCGGCUAACUCCGUGC
rnacentral:rRNA from 1 species